rnacentral:rRNA from 1 species
CAGCAGCGCGGUAAUACAGAGGGUGCGAGCGUUAAUCGGAUUUACUGGGCGUAAAGCGUGCGUAGGCGGUUAUAUAAGACAGAUGUGAAAUCCCCGGGCUCAACCUGGGAACUGCAUUUGUGACUGUAUAGCUAGAGUACGGCAGAGGGGGAUGGAAUUCCGCGUGUAGCAGUGAAAUGCGUAGAUAUGCGGAGGAACACCGAUGGCGAAGGCAAUCCCCUGGGCCUGUACUGACGCUCAUGCACGAAAGCGUGGGGAGCAAACAGGAUUAGAUACCCCGGUAGUCCCUGUCUCUUAUACA